rnacentral:rRNA from 1 species
AUGUGCGCCGACGUGGGGCUGGUGGCUGAGGCCGAGCAGUUCUUUGAGGAGAUGAAGCUGGACAAGUGGAGCUACACAGCCAUCAUCAACAUCUAUGGGAGCAUCAAGGACGCCAACCGCGCACUCCAGUUGUUUGUGGAAAUGCUACAGAGCGGCAUAGAGGCCAACAUAAUGAGCUACACCAUCGUGAUCCAGUGCCUCGGCAAGGCGAACUGGAUAGAUGACGCCGUUCUUUGUAACCGCAUCUGGGUCAUAGACGUACAUUCUCAGGUGCACACGCGUCACUGCCUACCGCUACCUUCCUUGCCGGCGGUGGACGGCGCCGCGUUUCCGGAUUAG